ensembl:snRNA U6 U6 spliceosomal RNA
CUUGAGAAUAAAGUUGUUAGGAAUCUGGAAUGAAACAGAGAAGAUUAGCAUGACCCCUGCACAAAGAAUAUGCAAAUCAUUAGUAGCAACUAAAUAAU